rnacentral:rRNA from 1 species
GAUGAACGCUAGCUACAGGCUUAACACAUGCAAGUCGAGGGGCAGCAUGACGAUAGCUUGCUAUUGUUGAUGGCGACCGGCGCACGGGUGAGUAACGCGUAUCCAACCUGCCCUUGUCCACCGGAUAACCCGUCGAAAGGCGGACUAACACGGUAUGCAGUCCACAGCAGACAUCUAACGUGGACGAAAUGUGAAGGAGAAGGAUGGGGAUGCGUCUGAUUAGCUUGUUGGCGGGGUAACGGCCCACCAAGGCGACGAUCAGUAGGGGUUCUGGGAGGAAGGUCCCCCACAUUGGAACUGAGACACGGUCCAAACUCCGACGGGAGGCAGCAGUGAGGAAUAUUGGUCAAUGGGCGAGAGCCUGAACCAGCCAAGUAGCGUGCAGGAAGACGGCCCUAUGGGUUGUAAACUGCUUUUAUACGGGGAUAAAGUGAGUCACGUGUGGCUUAUUGCGGGUACCGUAUGAAUAAGGACCGGCUAAUUCCGUGCCAGCAGCCGCCGUAA